CCUGGUGAUGAUAGAGAGGGGGCAACACCUGUUCCCAUUCCGAACACAGAAGUUAAGUCCCUCUUCGCCGAUGGUGGUGCACUGGUAACGGUGUGUUAGAGUAGGUCAUCGCCGGGC
rnacentral:rRNA from 1 species